UACGGAGGGUGCAAGCGUUGUCCGGAUUUAUUGGGUUUAAAGGGUGCGUAGGCGGCCUUUUAAGUCAGAGGUGAAAUCCCGUGGCUCAACCACGGAACUGCCUUUGAUACUGGAAGGCUUGAGUUCGGUAGAGGCGGGCGGAACUGGUGGUGUAGCGGUGAAAUGCAUAGAUACCACCAAGAACCCCGAUUGCGUAGGCAGCUCGCUGUGCCUGAACUGACGCUGAGGCACGAAAGCGUGGGGAGCGAACAGG
rnacentral:misc_RNA from 1 species